CAAAAAAAACUUACAUAAAUGACUUGAUGGCUAAGGUUCUGCUAAUCCGUGAACCAUCUGUUGAGAGGAUAAUAACUACUAUUGGUGAACUUGAGCUGAAAAAGAGCGCCUAUGGCUUGAAGCAAAAAUCGCUGAACCUGAUGUGAAGAAAAUUAUUACCUACAUAGGUUGCGACAACUGUGGCCGCCGCUGUGAAGAACUGGUUGGUGAGACCUUCAAAUGUUCCAGCUGGCCAAACAAAUUCUACACAGCUACUGCUAGGGUAAACUACACCUUCCCCAUAACUGAUGGAACAGGGGAAUUGAAGCUCACAGCUUUUGGAGCAGAGUGUGAGAAGCUCUUUAGCAUGGAACUUGCUGACAUACACAGCAAAGUAACUACUGAAUAUUGGGAUGCCUUUGAUGAAGCAGUAGCUAGACUAUCAACUAAGGAGGCUUACUUUUGUGUUGAACCAACAAAUAUUUUGAGCAGGGUGGGGGCUCUGAGGUGGGCUCUCAAAUCUGUCUCAAUGGAGUAACUAGAUGGAAGUUUGCUUAGAAAAUGGUGUGAUUGUUAUCUCAUAUUCCUCUACUGAUCCUUUUGAUUUGCACUGCUUGUAACUAUUCUACUGCUUAGCUAAUAAGUGGUUCUUCUAAAACUAUCUUAGCCUAGAAUGGAUGGUAGAUUCAUCACAUCUGUGAACUUAUGCAACUAUGGUGUAUUCUUGCAAGUCGUUUAGUUGUUAUAUUUAGGACAAAUUUACAAAUCUCGGUCAUCCAUUACCACAUUAA